AUCUGGCUGGCUCAGUUGGCAGAGCUUGUGACUCUUGAUCUCAGGGUCCUGAGUUUGAAUCCCAUGCUGGGUG
rnacentral:tRNA from 1 species